rnacentral:misc_RNA from 1 species
GUUUCAACUUUUCUUUGUGCAAUGACAACAUUCGGUACGAGUGUUAAAAAAUGACGGUUCACAAGUGUGAAAAUGAGAUUGGUUACCGAGCGCGCCGGAGGGCGGCCCGAUGUUUAAACUCGAUAAUGAUCCUUCCGCAGGUUCACCUACGGAAA